AACUUUCCAGAGGUUACUGCUUCCAAGUUGGCUUCACCCAGAGUUCAUGCUUCUAAUUGGCUUUGGUCUGCCAGAGGUUCUACUUCCAAUCAGGUUCACCCGACAGAGAUGCUCCCAAAUGGCUUCGCAACGACAGACGUGAGCCAAGGAUUUGUAUAGUGAGAAGGAUUGGAAUCUCGUGGACUAUUUGCAUUGCUGUAUUGAAAUAAGCUGCGUAUGAUGAGAUUUUGCGAGAUUUACCAUGAUGCAUCUCGUUAGUCGUUUUUCGUCCACCAUUACAAGUUGAAUUUAUGUCAUUUCCAGAUAAACUCGGCGUUUUAUGUAAAAGAUAUUUUUUGUAUUCUAAAAGUACUUCUCUCUGAAGACAAUAGUUGGUUAUGGCUGUGGAAAAUAAUCAGGAUAACAAAGUUAAAGAAAGGAGAUAUGUUUCUUUGUGGUGAAAGUGCAAGAAAUAACACCAUAUUCUGACUUACAAAAUGAUCACUCAUACUGCAUGCAAUACAGGGAAAGGCAUCAAACCAAGCCUCUAGAAGACAUACAUUUGUAGAAUGUAUUUUCUAUGAUGUACACGUCGCAGAGGAUACUUUAUGUUCCAAAAAUUCAAAUAAAAAUUGUGUCAGCUCCUGUGACAAACUUAAGACGGAAGUUAACCAGAGUAUGAAAUCACCAUUAUCAAUAUGUAAAAUCCAACCAGUGACUAUAUAUUUAUUCAAAUAGUGUCAUGAAUGGAAUUAAAAAAAGGACUUGGAAAAUUAACAUGUUUUAAUAUUGCUUUGUGUGUUAAUAAAAUUUGUCAGCAAGAA